rnacentral:lncRNA from 1 species
CUUGGCCAGAAUUUGCUCCUUGGCCUUCAUGGGUUCCCACGGGGCUCUUUUCCAGGUCUGGGGCCCCUGGGGAGCAGCUUGUAAACUGAGCCCCCCAUAGCCAGCCCUCCCAGGCAGGGUCCCAGUCCAGCCUGGGUUUGCUUUCCUCUUGGCAAACAAUGAAGGGCCCCGCCCAGGCUCUGCCCAUUGCCAGGCAGGUGGUCUGGAGGGCCCAGUCUGCUGCAGCUGCGCCCGGAGGUGGCCGCUCCCUCGCUGGUCAGAGAGCAUGAGCCGGGGCCUUCUUCAGGGGCACCAGAGCCUGCAGCAGCCAGCCUGCAGCUGCCCCUCCGGACCAGAUGAGAACCAUGCCUGUGGUAGUAAGAAGGAAAGGAGAGCCCCACUGAGCAGAGGCUCUGGGCUGGAGGCUGCUGUGAGGCUGGACAUGCUGGGCACAGGGAGUGUCCAGGACCCAUGGCGCACCCACCUGGCCAUCCACCGUCUCCGCCACUCCACCCACUGGAAGAUGCUGCCGCUUCCCACGGCCGGGCAGCCUGCCUCGGACCCACGGGUGCCCUUGGAGGAUGGCACCGAUGGGCAGGUGCCUCCCAGUCAGGACCCCCAGAAGGAGCCUCCUCAGCCACUGGUCACCCCGACCCCUGGGGGCGCUAGCCCUGCUGGUCCCCGGGGGGCAAGCCACUACCCUUUUCCAAAGAGAAAAGGCCCUCGCAUCUCUGAGGCAGCCAGGAGACUGGGCCUCUACAGACCCACCUGAAACCCCCAGCAGGGUGGGGUCUAGGGACGAGAGAAGCCCACAGCCCCUAAGUUGUCAGGGCCGGAGACACCGAUGGUGAUGGCGCAGCAGAGGCCUCUCUGGUCCUGCCCCUCCGUGGCCUUCCAGGGAAGGGGGAGCUCAGCACCCGAGGCAGCCCUGGCCAGCUUUUCUUCCGCCCAGGGAACCCUGGGGGCACAGGAGCUCAUCCAGGGGGUCUGGGGAACGAGGAACGUUGGUGGCAAAUAACGAUCCUGUCCUAUUGAAAUAUCCCCAAAGCGGUUACAUCGAUGAAGAAAUGCUGCUCACCAAAUAAAGUUUUCUUUGUGAAAAAAU